UACUUCAACCCACAGCAUUCCUACAGCCUGGUAGCUUUCUGAUAACACAGUGUGGGGGUUUGGGUGGAUUUGUUUUUCUCAUGUUUACUUUAAAUCAAGUCAGUCUGUUUUUCACUUCUGCCGCUUGCUGAUGUGUGAGGCAGCAUUUUAGCUCAAAGUGCCCACGACUAACAGCAGGAGCUAUCACUCACAGCAUAAAGAGCCUGGGAUUCUCCACUGCUGCCCCUGUGUCUCCUCUGCCCACAGCCCCACGCAGCUCCAGGUCUCACCCCUUGGGUUGGGCUUCCUAUCCUUUCUUCGAAGCAAUGUGACCACGUAGUAAACUGUUUUUGAGGAGUGUUUGCUGUUUGAGGUUACAAGAUGAAACCACAGAGUUCCUUAUCUUGUCUUUCUGCAUCUGUUUUUACAUGAGCUAGCAGAGCAAAAGAGCAAAGCAGUAACAACCGAAAACUUCUUUUUCCCCUCUCCCCACCCAUAUUUUUGAAGCCACAGGAGAAGUCCCCUGUAGGAUCCAGCUGCUGGCUCUGUUUGGCUUUUUUUUUCUGCAGACCAGGUAGGAACACACUUCCAAAGGGUGGGCAGCAAUGGAAAGCAGGAAAUUGGAAAGCAGUCACCAGCCUGGCAUGGUUCCCCCAGAAACUCGUGUUUGUACCUUAGGAAACAGCUCUGGAAAUAGCAAUAAAAUUUUAUUUGCUACCUUUCCUCCCCAAA